rnacentral:rRNA from 1 species
CCUACGGGAGGCUGCAGUGGGGGAUAUUGGACAAUGGGGGCAACCCUGAUCCAGCGACGCCGCGUGAGUGAAGAAGGAUCUCCGGAUGUUAAGCCCCUUUAGUAGGGGAGAAAGUAAUGACGGUAGUUGACCAAGAAGCCCAGGCUACCUACGUGCCAGCAGCAGCGGCAAUACGUCGGGGGCAAGCGUUAUCCGGAAUUAUUGGGUGUCAUGGGAGCGUAGACGGCUGUGUAAGUCUGGAGUGAAAGGCGGGGGCUCAACCCGCGGAUUGCACUUGAUACUGGAAGGCUAGAGUACAGGAGAGGGAAGCGGAAUUCCUGGUGUAGCAGUGAAAUGCGUAGAUAUUAAGAGGAACACCAGUGGCGAAGGCGGCUUACUGGACUGUAACUGACGUUGAGGCUCGAAGGCGUGGGGAGCGAACAGGAUUAGAUACCCCUGUAGUC